rnacentral:rRNA from 1 species
AAACAUCGAUAGUAUCACCACCUCACUAUCCGCCAGGGAACUACGAGCAAUAGCUUAAAACCCAAAGGACUUGGCGGUGCUUUAGACCCACUUAGAGGAGCCUGUUCUAGAACCGAUACUCCCCGUUCAACCUCACCUUUUCUUGUUUAACCCGCCUAUAUACCGCCGUCGUCAGCUUACCCUGUAAAGGCCCUAUAGUAAGCAAAAAUGAUUUAAAUCCAAAACGUCAGGUCGAGGUGUAGCGCAUGGAAAGGAAAGAAAUGGGCUACAUUCCCUGCCCCAGGGAAUACGAAUAGUACACUGAAACACGUACUUGAAGGAGGAUUUAACAGUAAGCAGGAAACAGAGCGUCCU